rnacentral:tRNA from 1 species
GUUCCGCUAGCUCAGUUGGUUUAGAGCGCCGCCUUGACAGGGCGGAGGUCAUUGGUUCGAACCCAGUGCGGAACA